AAUGAACGUUGGCGGCAUGGAUUAGGCAUGCAAGUCGAGCGAGAAGUUCACCUUCGGGUGAGCGGAAAGCGGCGAAAGGGAGAGUAACGCGUAGUUACCUACCCCGAGGUCUGGAAUAGCCCGCCGAAAGGCGGGGUAAUGCCGGAUAAUAUCUACGGAUCAAAGGUGUGAUUCCGCCUCGGGAGGGGACUGCGUUGUACUAGCUAGUUGGUAGGGUAAUGGCCUACCAAGGCGAUGAUGCAUAGCGGGCGUGAGAGCGUGGCCCGUCUCACUGGGACUGAGACACUGCCCAGACACCUACGGGAGGCUG
rnacentral:rRNA from 1 species